AUACCGGGCCUUUUUGGGCUUGGUAAUUGGAAUGAGGGAGAGUUAAACGGACCAUCGAGUAUCCAUUGGAGGGCAAGUCUGGUGCCAGCAGCUGCGGUAAUACCAGCUCCAAUAGCGUAUAUUAAAGUUGUUGCAGUUAAAAAGCUCGUAGUUGGACUUGUGUGCGCUGUCCGCGGGUGGCCUGCGCCCAAAAGGGCGUUUCGGUUCGGCCCCGGUGGCGCCUUGAAAUCUGCAGCUGGGGGGACGUUGGCCUUAACUGGUCGGCGACCGCACGCCGGCUGCUCGGUUACUGUGAGAAAAUUAGAGUGUUCAAGGCAGGCAUUGGGUGCAAUUGAAUACAUUAGCAUGGAAUAAUAAAAUAUGGCUCCUGCCGUAUUUUGUUGGUUUUGACUGGUGGGAGUAAUGAUUGAUAGGGACGGUUGGGGGUGCUAGUAUUGAGCGGCCAGAGGUGAAAUUCAUGGAUUCGCUCUAGACUAACUUAUGCGAAAGCAUUCACCAAGGACGUCCUCUUUAAUCAAGAACGAAAGUUGGGGGAUCGAAGACGAUCAGAUACCGUCGUAGUCUCAACCAUAAACUAUGUCGACUUGGGAUCGGCGGUAGUUUUUUUCAUUAAGACACUGUCGGGACCACGGGAGAAAUCAAAGUGUCUGGACUCUGGGGGAAGUAUGGUCGCAAGGCUGAAACUUGAAGGAAUUGACGGAAGGGCACCACCAGGAGUGGAGCCUGCGGCUUAAUUUGACUCAACACGGGGAAACUUACCAGGUCCAGAGAUGUAGAGGAUUGACAGAUUGAAGCUCUUUCUUGAUCACUUCGGUGGUGGUGCAUGGCCGUUCUUAGUUGGUGGAGUGAUUUGUCUGGUUAAUUCCGUUAACGAACGAGACCUCAGCCUGCUAGUGUAGUCGGCUGGAUUGCCUUUGGCGAUCCGUGAUUUCGACUUCUUAGAGGGACAAUCGACGCGCAGUCGAUGGAAGUUUGAGGCAAUAACAGGUCUGUGAUGCCCUUAGAUGUUCUGGGCCGCACGCGCGCUACACUGCUGGGCUCAGCGAGUUUUACUUGGCCGAGAGGCCCGGUUAAUCUUGUGAAAUCCCAGCGUGCUUGGGCUCGCCUCCUGCAACUGGAGGCGCCAACGAGGAAUUCCUAGUAGACGCAGGUCAUCAACCUGCAUCGAUUACGUCCCUGCCCUUUGUACACACCGCCCGUCGUUCCAUAAGAGUGAGGCAUCCGGUGAAUUCUCGGGAGAGCCUGGGCGUGGCCAGCAAUGGUCUGCUCGGGUUUGAACUUGCAUAAACUUGGUGCCUAUGAUUAGGG
rnacentral:rRNA from 1 species